ACUAAAACUAGCCUAACUUUUAAACAACACAACUAAACACGAACUAACAAUUAAAGCAUUCACCAUUAUUAAAGUAUAGGAGAUAGAAAUAUACCUUUAGAGCUAUAGAGAAAGUACCGCAAGGGAAAGAUGAAUGAACAAAUAAACAAGUAAAAAAAAGCAUAGACUAUAUCUAGUACCUUUUGCAUAAUGAACUAACUAGAAAUACAUUAGCAAAGAGAACUUUAGUUAAUAACCCCGAAACCAAGUGAGCUACCUGCUGACAGCUAACAGAGCCAACUCGUCUAUGUAGCAAAAUAGUGAGAAGAUCAACAGGUAGAGGUGAAAAGCCAACCGAACUUGGUGAUAGCUGGUUGUCCAAACAAGAAUAUUAGUUCAACUUUAAGCUUUUCCCAAAAAAACCAAAAAUUGCAUGAAAACUUAAAUGUUAGUCUAUAGAGGGACAGCUCUAUAGAAAAGGCUACAACCUUAAACAGAGGGUAAACAAAAUAAACGUCCAUAGUAGGCCUAAAAGCAGCCACCAAUUAAGAAAGCGUUAAAGCUCAAAACCUUAAAAUAAAAAAUACCAAAAAUAUAUAUAUGAUCCCCUGUACAUCAAUUGGACUAAUCUAUAUUACAUAUAUAGAAGAGAUAAUGUUAGUAUUAGUAACAAGAAAUAUUUCUCCUUGCAUAAGUUUAUAUCUUCCCGGACCCUCCACUGAUAAUUAACAACCUAAUAAUACUAACCAUACAUUAAUUACUUAUUAUACAAAUUGUUAAUCCAACACAGGCAUGCAUUAAGGAAAGACAGAAAAAAGCAAAAGGAACUCGGCAAACACAAAUCCCGCCUGUUUACCAAAAACAUCACCUCUAGCAUUCCAAAUAUUAGAGGCACUGCCUGCCCGGUGACUUAAAAGUUAAACGGCCGCGGUAUCCUGACCGUGCAAAGGUAGCAUAAUCACUUGUUCUUUAAAUAAGGACCUGUAUGAAUGGCUAGACGAGGGUUUUACUGUCUCUUGCUUUCAGUCAGUGAAAUUGACCUUCCCGUGAAGAGGCGGGAAUAACAUAAUAAGACGAGAAGACCCUAUGGAGCUUUAAUACCACUAUGCAUAUUUUAACAACAAUAAUAAAAACAAACAAAUAAUGUAUAGAGUAUUUCGGUUGGGGUGACCUCGGAGAACAGAAAAACCUCCGAAUGAUAUUAAGUUAGAUCUACAAAUCAAUCCUCCUAUCAUAUUAUUGACCCAAUAAACUUGAACAAUGAACCAAGUUACCCUAGGGAUAACAGCGCAAUCCUAUUUAAGAGUCCAUAUCGACAAUAGGGUUUACGACCUCGAUGUUGGAUCAGGACAUCCCAAUGGUGCAGCCGCUAUUAAAGGUUCGUUUGUUCAACGAUUAAAGUCCUACGUGAUCUGAGUUCAGACCGGAGUAAUCCAGGUCGGUUUCUAUCUAUUUAUAAGUUUCUCCCAGUACGAAAGGACAAGAGAAACAGGGCCAAUUAUCCAGUAACGCCCUACAAAUAAAAAAUUCAUCAAUCUUAAUUUUGUAAUUAAUUAAAACACUUACCCUAGAAAAGGGUUU
rnacentral:rRNA from 1 species